rnacentral:lncRNA from 1 species
UGUGUCUGAGCUCUGACUCUCCUUGUGUGGGUCUUUCUGUGGCUGUUGUGGGGGAUAGGGGUGAGAUGCCCAGGUUAAUGGAGUUGUGUACAUAGGAGGAUUAUGCUGCCUCUGCUGAGUCAUGCAGGUUGUCAGGGAAGUGGGGGAAAGCCGGCAGUCAUAGGCCUCACCCAGCUCCCAUGCAAACCAAAGAGCAGUUCUCAUGGAGCCUGUUUCCAGGUGGUGGGCAAGAUGGGCUUGAAAACUUGCCUCAGGCUACCUGCCUCUCAACUAUGGAAAAAAAGGGCUUGGUUCUUCCCCUGCCUGUGGAGUCUGCACAACAGAUUUGUGCCCUCCCAUGAGUUCUGGCCAGGAGGCUUCUCGCCCUGUUCAAAUUGUUACAAAGUUCAACUAUAGAUUUCUUUCUUCCUGUGGAGUUUCAACACCUGCUCCUCUGGCCACCCUCACAAUGGAUCCCUGUGGUGCCAAGCAGGAAUGGCCUGUUUGGGCACCCAGUGAGCUCCCAGGGCCUUUCUACUGCUUCCUCAAACCCUGUAUUUUGCUCAGCUCUCUAAAUGGAUUCAACUCCAGAGAAGACUAUCAAGUAGUUAGGAAAGAAAGUCAGUGAGAUGUCUCAGGCGUGACUCAGCUACGGAAACAAUAGCAAUCAGAGGACAUUUGGAGAUGAAGAAAAAAAAGAAACAAACUUCAAUACAAUGAGAAAUAUACCAGUACAUGUAUGACACUCAAGUAACAUAAUGAUCUUAAGGCUAAUUUACUACCUCCUUGUUGCCUGACAGAGACCUGGAACCAAACCCAGAACUUCACUUCCCUGUGCCAGAAGGAUUCCAGUGAGCUUUUCCCACAGGCCCUACAGUCUUCUCCAGGUGAACCUCGGUCACUAUCUAUA